rnacentral:lncRNA from 1 species
UAUCAUGCUGCUUGCCUUGCCAUUAUGUGUUUUGCUCGAAUUUUGGCAUGUUGAUGAACCAUGUUGCUGUUGCUGCUAUACCAUGCUGCUGUGAUGAUGAUGUUGAUGUUCAUAAAAUUCUGCUGCAAUUUUGAGACAUGAAUGUGUGCCUGCUAUGCUGUUAUGUGCUAUUGUUUUGAAACAUGAUGAUGAUGUAUACCAUGC